rnacentral:rRNA from 1 species
UACAGAGGGUGCAAGCGUUAAUCGGAUUUACUGGGCGUAAAGCGUGCGUAGGCGGUUCGCUAAGUCGGUUGUGAAAUCCCUGGGCUUAACCUGGGAACUGCAGUCGAUACUGGCGGACUAGAGUACGGUAGAGGGUGGCGGAACUCCGGGUGUAGCGGUAGAAAUGCGUAGAUAUUCGCAAGAACACCAGUGGCGAAGGCGGCUCACUGGCCCGAUACUGACGCUGAGGCACGGAAAGCGUGGGGAGCAAACAGG